rnacentral:rRNA from 1 species
UACGUAGGGGGCAAGCGUUGUCCGGAAUCAUUGGGCGUAAAGAGCGCGUAGGCGGCCCUGUAAGUCCGCUGUGAAAGUCAAGGGCUCAACCCUUGGAUGCCGGUGGAUACUGCAGGGCUAGAGUCCGGAAGAGGCGAGUGGAAUUCCUGGUGUAGCGGUGAAAUGCGCAGAUAUCGGGAAGAACACCCGUGGCGAAGGCGGCUCUCUCGGGACGGUACUGACGCUGAGACGCGAAAGCGUGGGAGCGAACAGG